UGGGCGAAAGCCUGACGGAGCAAUACCGCGUGAGGGAUGAAGGAUUUUGGUCUGUAAACCUCUUUUCUCAAGAAAGAAGUUCUGACGGUACUUGAGGAAUAAGCAUSGGCUAACUCCGUGCCAGCAGCCGCGGUAAUACGGGGGAUGCAAGCGUUAUCCGGAAUCAUUGGGCGUAAAGCGCCUGUAGGUUGUUUAGUAAGUCUGUUGUUAAAGACCAGGGCUUAACCCUGGGAAAGCAAUGGAAACUACUACACUUGAGUAUGGCAGGGGUAGAGGGAAUUUCUAGUGUAGCGGUGAAAUGCGUAGAUAUUAGAAAGAACACCGGCGGCGAAAGCGCUCUACUGGACCAUUACUGACACUCAGAGGCGAAAGCUAGGGGAGCAAAAGGGAUUAGAUACCCCUGUAGUCCUAGCCGUAAACGAUGGAUA
rnacentral:rRNA from 1 species